GGCCUUGUAGCUCAGGAGUUGGAACACUGGUCUUGUAAACCAGGGGUCAUGAGUUCAAAUCUCGCUGGGGCCU
rfam:Pteropus alecto contig44897, whole genome shotgun sequence.